CUUGGCCUCCCAAAGUGCUGGGAUUACAGGUGUGAGCCACCGCAACUGGCCUCCUUUUACAUUCUUAAUGACUGCACAAUAUCUCACUAUGGAGGAACCAUAAUUUACUCCAUCAUCUCUAUUGUUGGGGGUUUUGGUAGCUUUGGGAUUCUCAUUCUUAACAUGUCAUGCUUGAUGCCAUCACAGGUUGAGUCUUUAGAAGCUGACAGAAAUGGCAUUGGGGGUAUAAGAUAUUAACUAGGGCUGGAUCCCUGUGAAAGGAAGAGGGAAGAAGCAGGGGUGGGUGAGGGAGAAGGUGAACUGUGGUACAGUCCUGCAGCCUCAGCAGACCCCAGGGUCUACUGUAAAGGCCUAUCAGUGUUGUCCCAUUGGGUGGAAAUGGCUGGGCUUUUAUAAUCUUAAGUCAUUCACUGACCAGAUGAGGGCUGUCCUGGGAGGGGAAGGACCUCACGUGAGGCUGCACUCUGCAGCUGAGGCCAACUUUGAAGGAGCUGAUAGCUGGGGGUAUCUGUUGACCACACUCUCCAAGGCUGGGCAGCAAGUAGCAAGUCCUCCUGUGAAGCAAGUCCUCAUAUGACACUCCUAUGGGGCAUCUCUGUGUCUACCGCCGUUACUCAUUCUGUGCAUAUAUGUUUGCUUAGGUCCUUGGUAUAAAUUCCAAGAAGUGGAAUUGCUGGGACAGAGUGUGGGCAUUUGAAAAACUUUUUAUAUUUAUUGCCCAGUGACCUCCCAGAAAGAUUGUACCCCUUUCUCCCAUCAAGAGUUCAUCACUAAUGCAUCAAUACAUGACAAUUGUACUGUUUCACAUUUUUAAAUAUUGAAAGGUAUCUCAAAUUCCUUUGAAAAAUAAAUACAAAUUUUGAUGUUU
rnacentral:sRNA from 1 species